rnacentral:misc_RNA from 1 species
AACGCACGAGACCUGCGGACCUGCGGAGGGAUCAUUAUUGAAAUCCUUCCAAGGAUGUUGCUGGUCCUUAGGGACAUGUGCACUCCGCCUUUCUAUACACCUGUGAACUUAUUGUAGGUGCAGAUGUAACAAGUCUGUUACCUAUGUUUUUUAACACACCCUUUUAAAAUGUAUAAUGGAAUGUUGAUGGAUAAUAAUAACAAUACAACUUUCAACAAUGGAUCUCUAGAUCGGAAGAGC